UACGGGGGGGGCAAGCGUUGUUCGGAAUUACUGGGCGUAAAGGGUUCGUAGGUGGCUCGCUAAGCCAGACGUGAAAUCCCCAGGCUCAACCUGGGAACUGCGUCUGAUACUGGAUGGCUUGAAUCCGGGAGAGGGAUGCAGAAUUCCAGGUGUAGCGGUGAAAUGCGUAGAUAUCUGGAGGAAUACCGGUGGCGAAGGCGGCAUCCUGGACCGGCAUUGACGCUGAGGAGCGAAAGCUAGGGGAGCAAACGGGG
rnacentral:rRNA from 1 species